GAGUUUGAUUAUGGCUCAGGAUGAACGCUGACAGAAUGCUUAACACAUGCAAGUCUACUUGAAUUUGGGUUUUUUAACUUCGAUUUAGGUGGCGGACGGGUGAGUAACGCGUAAAGAACUUGCCUCACAGCUAGGGACAACAUUUGGAAACGAAUGCUAAUACCUAAUAUUAUGAUUUUAGGGCAUCCUAGAAUUAUGAAAGCUAUAUGCGCUGUGAGAGAGCUUUGCGUCCCAUUAGCUAGUUGGAGAGGUAACGGCUCACCAAGGCGAUGAUGGGUAGCCGGCCUGAGAGGGUGAUCGGCCACAAGGGGACUGAGACACGGCCCUUACUCCUACGGGAGGCAGCAGUGGGGAAUAUUGGACAAUGGACCAAGAGUCUGAUCCAGCAAUUCUGUGUGCACGAUGAAGUUUUUCGGAAUGUAAAGUGCUUUCAGUUGGGAAGAAAAAA
rnacentral:rRNA from 1 species